rnacentral:misc_RNA from 1 species
GAUGAAGAACGUAGCGAAAUGCGAUACGUAGUGUGAAUUGCAGAAUUCAGUGAAUCAUCGAAUCUUUGAACGCACAUUGCGCCCGCCAGCAUUCUGGCGGGCAUGCCUGUUCGAGCGUCAUUUCAACCCUCGAGCCCCCCCGGGGGCCUCGGUGUUGGGGGACGGCACACCAGCCGCCCCCGAAAUGCAGUGGCGACCCCGCCGCAGCCUCCCCUGCGUAGUAGCACACACCUCGCACCGGAGCGCGGAGGCGGUCACGCCGUAAAACGCCCAACUUUCUUAGAGUUGACCUCGGAUCAGGUAGGAAUACCCGCUGAACUUAAGCAUAUUAAUAAGCGGAGGA